UGCAAGCAGCCCCUCCUCUUUUACUCAGGUGUCUCUCGUCUGAUUGAUUGAUUGCUCCGUGCUUGUGGUGACGGCAGCAUGUUUAAAACACCACCAGGAAGCCUUGGAUUUUACUGCAUCCAUUUAAAAUAAAUAUAUACUCCUUUGUUUUUAUUAUCUUCGUCAACCAGUUACAUAAAAGUUACUACUAUGCUUUCGGCUGAAAGUCACCAGAUAACAAGGUCACUCGUUAAACCGAAACACCCACUGCAUCAUUUAGGAACAGAAGCCUGAGGAGCAACAAGGAAGAAAUUCAGCCAUCAUUCUCAACCAAGAAGACAUCUACUCCUCAACAAGUGUCAAGUAAUAACGACAAGUAACGUCCCCCUACUACCCAUAACAAGUUGGUGAAAGACUCUCUUCAACUGUCAGUCUGAUAAAAUCAUCAUAUCAGACUGAACUGUUUGUCCCUGCUCUCCUUGGACAGAGACUAUCAUGAAGUCAUUUCAGUGUUCAACACCAAGAAGCCCCGUCGUCUCCUGCUGUCAUCAUCAAAAGACUUAUCAGGACUCACAUGGGAAGGUGACGAUUUGAAAAAAGUGAGGAGCAGCUUCCAGGCCAGCAAGUACCCCAGGAUGCAGGAGUACUCCACACUGAGAGGCUGGACCACUGCAAACUCUCCUACUUGAACCCCUGCCAGGAUGCUAUCGCACAGUUCCUCACAGGUUGACAGGAUGGCCAUCAGAGACGCUGGAGGAGAACUGAACACAGAAAGGAAACACGACGCAACAGGAUUUCCUCCAUUUACUUACAGACAUGGCUCAUCUCCAUCAUCAUCAGACUUGUUGUUGUCUCCUUCUCCAUCACACUCGGGCAGCUGAGGCAUGACCCUGUUAUUGACAAAAAGCAACAGAGUUAAUUUAACACUUUAAUCAUAACACAGUACCAAGGCAGUUAUUAGCAGAAAUGUUUUUGGUUUUUUUGUUAAUUUAAGGAAAAGCUACCCACGUUUGCACAAACUCUCUCAAACAAA